rnacentral:rRNA from 1 species
AAUCAACGCUGGCGGCGUGCCUCAGACAUGCAAGUCGAACGAUUAAACUUUCCUUCGGGAAAGAUAUAAAGUGGCGCACGGGUGAGUAACACGUAGGUAAUGUACCUUUGGGUGGGGAAUAACUUAGGGAACUUAAGCUAAUACCGCAUAAUGCAGCGGCUCCUUCGGGAGACAGUUGUUAAAGAUUUAUCGCCUAAAGAGCAGCCUGCGGCAGAUUAGCUAGUUGGUAAGGUAACGGCUUACCAAGGCGACGAUCUGUAUCCGACCUGAGAGGGUGGUCGGACACACUGACACUGAAUAACGGGU